GUGAGUUCGCUCACUUGUUUGUGCUCUUGUUGUGCCUGCCUUCUUGCCUCAGGAGUUGAGGGCUUCAUAGAACUGUAGCUGUAAGGCUGUAUAGUGGGCCUGUUUCAUCAGACCACAGCUCUGGUGGAAGUACUGGACCCACUGAGAUGCCAGGAUGACAUGUCUAAUUAGAAUCACACUGAAGAUCUUCGACUUUACAUUUGACUGGAAGGAGUUUGAGUGACAAAGCAUCCACCACAUCCUUAGG